UGAGUUCAUAUGCUGCUAAUUUAAUGUGUUUGAAAUGCAUUUAACUUGCUGAUUUAAUUUGCUGCAGGUUCAUGAACGGAUUGGUGCAAUGUAUGGGAGUGUGCAUGCACAAUUGAGGUUCAAUGGAUGGCAUUUAAAGGAGCACAUGCAUUUGGGACGUUCAUGCAAGAGGGAGUUGCUAAAAGUUCAUGUAUUUGAAGAUUCAUGGAUCAUAUUUAUGGGGGAAAAUACAUGGGACGUUUCAUGCAUGAUUCAUGCAUUUUCCAGAUGACCAUUCAAGUAUUUUAGGCACAUUAAUGCCUCAUUCAGCCAAGGGAGAUGUAGGAUCAUUAAAGAGCUGCACAUUCAUGGAAUUAUGGAGAUUCUUCAAGGCUAAAGAUGCAUGAAUGCAUCAAGUGAAGCAUCAUGAUGGUUCGGCCAAUUCAUGUACCAUUUUCAAGCAUGAACUGGAUUUUAAUGCUAUUUGUGUGAACAUGUUAAAUACCUGUGUGAACAGAAUUUAAGUUAGUGUGAACAACAUAGAUGCCGAAUAUCAAUAGGAAUUUUAGGCUUAUAAAUAGCUUACUUGUUUAUUGUAAAAGGUUAUAGAAUUUGAUUAUUGAAAACUUGAUUGUGAGGUUUCCUCCUAUCCUAUUUCGUACGAGUCUCGUUCUGACUUAUCUAGCUCACUAGUGGUGUCAACCCGACUUCUUGAACUUAUCACCAUCCUGGUGUGGCGUUCAUCCACCUUUUUAUACCUUUGGUUCCUACCUCUCUAUAGGUAACGGGUCAAGGUCCAUCUUCGACAAUCCAUUAAACCCACCUUAAGCAAUAUAAGUCCUGGGGCAAUACUUCAUAUAGUAUUGAAUCGUUCUUCGCUUGAGUUCUAUUUUUCCAUUCCAUUUUAACUAUUAAAUUAUAAACAAUAUUUCUUUAUUUCACCGAGCCUAUCAAACAUCUAUCCAAACCAUCUUUUGAACCCAUUUUCUCAACUUCCGCUAUAAAAAAUCAUCUAACUCCAUCUAUCUACAAAAUCGAACAAACUUCUCGUCGACGAUCGGGCAAUCAAGUGAAUCGACUCAAUCAACCGAGUCGGAUCACAUCAUUUGGUAUCAGAGCUACUAAAACGAGGAGCGCCGACGUUCGUAAUAAGGCCGCAAGUAGGUUCGAAACGUGAAAAAAAAAUCAAAAAAAAAAAUUUUGAGUUGUAAUUUAAUUUUUUUCCCUUGUAUUUAGCUUACUAUUGUAUUGGAGUAACAAAAAAAUCAAAAAAAAUUCGAAAAAAAAUUGAUUAAAAAAAAUUCAAAAAAAAAGUGAAAAAAAAAUCGAGCAAAAAAAAAGGUGAGAAAAAAAAUCAAGUUAAAAAAAAAGUGAAAAGUCUUGCGAGUUUUUAUCAUUAUCACUUAUUACUCCGAUCAUCAAGUUUCCCUUCCUACCAUUAUUUACCCAUCCCAACGCCACACUUUAAACCAAUUUUCUUCUUUAUUCAGCCUACCCUACACCCGACAUUAUCCCUUGUAACCAAUUUGAAACCGACCCUCAAGCAGCAAAUUAAGUCUACCGAGACAAAUCACGAAAUUGUGAGAAGAGGUUGAGUGGAAAAAGGCACGAGUGAAAUUAUAUCAAAGAAAAAGCCAAAAUUUGAAUGUAAACACGAGUGCGAGUGAAAAUCAUUAUUUCCUUUUCGAGCGAAUUUGUGAGGUUUGUGGUAAGGUAUUUAUUUUCUUUAUUAUUUUUUUCUAACAUCUUCUUGUCAUUACUUAAUCAUGUCUCGAGAAACAUUUCCCGAAUUAGAAUUCCAAUAUUUGAUGCAAGAGAUGCAUAGAAUGGUGAAAUCAAAAUUUGAUAAAUUGCAUGAUCGAUUGGAUCGAGUGGAGGAAAGAGCUCGAUGGAAGCCAAACUCACCGGGUGAAGAGACGGAGACAAGAUCAUCACGAAGGCACACAUCCAUUGAUUUUAAAGGAAGAGAUUCAUACCAUGAUUCCUAUUCAACGAGGAACUCAAGACGAAGCAAAGCAAGUUUUGAGUUUAAAGCUUUCCGAGGUGUCGAACGAGAAAUCACAAGUAGUCCUUCGUAUGCACCGAGGUAUUCGUCCGCCAAGAAUCAAUCUCAAAGAGGUGAUCAUUUUUUGUAUGAAAGUCGUUCCAAUUAUACCCAAUGAGAGUCAUUUCGUGCUGAUUCAUUUGUAACAUCUCCAUCCUAUAAUGAAAGAGCGAGGCAAAAUGAAAAAGAAAUAAGAAGAAAGGAAAGACAAGAAAUGUUGAUGAGAGAAAAUGAGCAUAUAUGGAAUGAAAUCGAGAGACGAAAAAAAGAAAUGAAAGAAAAGGAACAAGAAAUUGAAAAAGAGAGUGAGAUUGAAGAAAGAAACGAGAGUGUAAAAGAAACGAGUGUCAUUGAAAAAGAAAUUGAGAUUGAAAAAGGAUGUGAAAAAGAGAAAGAAAUCGAAAAAGAAAUUGAGAUUGAACAAAAGUGUGAGGAAAAAGAGAAAAUUGAAAAAGAAAGAAAAGACAAUGAGUUAGAAAAAAAACGAGAGAAAAGGAGGCAAAAGAGCAAGAAAAAGUGAGGAAUUUGUUUACUAAACCACAUGAGAAUUUGUCUUGUUUUGUUUCCUCUUUUCAGGUCUCCGGAAGGCCAAGUGACGAUAAUUUUCAACUCCAAUACCUCUCGAAGGAGAGAAGGUUCAUUUUGGCUGAAAAAGGUAAUGUUCUCAACGAUCCUAGUUCGCCUAUGCCAAAAGGUAAGCAAGGUAUGAAUGUUGAAAAUUUUAAAGCACUUCUGCCUUACUCGAUUGUUGAUGGACACACUGUUGAUGAUUUGGUCUUUAGAAAGAAUCUGAACUUUGACGUGGCUAUUUGUCAUUAUUUGAUUGAUGAUGAUCCAUUUGUUGUGUCUAAUGAUAAGAAGAUUCUUGCUUUUGAAAAAUAUCAUUUUGAUGGUAUUGGUUGUUUAUCUUUAACUUGCAAUGGAAUGCAUGUUUUGGAUGCGCUAGAUGAAAGUCCAUAUAAAAUGUUCAUUCUCACUGAUCAUGUUGAAAAGGAAUGGAAAUGUAUUGAUGAAUACGCCAUUGGCAAGAUUUUUGAUGAAGAGCGAAUAAAUCAGCACUAACAAAAUCUGGAAUUGUGUGAUCAAAAGUUGACAUAUCAUCUGCUUGGUUGUGUUGAUCAUGUGGAUUAUCUAAUUUUUGGUGUGAAAUUUCCAUGUUUUUGUAAAUCUUUUCGAAUGAAAUUUAAAGGGUUUGCUUGUUUGAAUUUGAGUAUGUUAACACCCUCGUUGUUUAAUUUGUGUAAAUUGUUGGAGAUAAAAGGACUCUUUUUGCCAUUUGGAUUGAGUAGUCAAAAUCAUGUCUUUAAUCCUGGAGUUUGCUAUUAUGAAUCAUCCAUGAAAGAAAGCAAGCAUCGUAAAAUUUGUUUGAAUGAAUGUGUAAACAAUCUUUGUUUGUAUGAUACUUUGUCUUUAAGUUUGAAAAUGAGCCAUGUGAAUCUUGUUGGUUUGUUAAGUCAAAAUCAAAAUUUUGUUUUCGGAGGAUGUUCUCAACUGUGGACUAAAAGAUCCGAACAUGUUUUGAAUGAUAAUGAUUUUGAGUUGCUUAGUGCUCUUUCUAUGAAGUCGGUCAUGAAAUUGCCAAAUCAAAUUGAAAUGGCAAGAGAAAAUUUUGUCUUUGACCCCGGUGAACACCAUUCUAUAUCAUUGCCUAAGGUAAUCGAACCAUGGAAAGUUGACUUCCAAAACCAUAGCUAUCAAAUGCCUUGUGAUUUAUGUUUGUUUCCAUCGAAGAAAAAGGUAAGAACGAUUUCUAUUUUCGACCCCGGUAUUGGAUUAUUUGUUCAAACUGUGAAUCAAAUCUCAAAAAGUUCCUUUGUGUUUAAUCUUCAUCGUGUCACUAAUUCGUUUUAUUCUUUUAAAGGUGACAAUGUGAAGUGGUACCCUCCUAAAGAGGGAGGGCAUGCGAAUGAGCUUCUUUUGAUCCGAGUUAAUUGUGGCUUUCAGAAUCUUCAACGAUUUUUCGUGAGUAAAUGGCCCGAUUUGGGGACAAAUCGCUUUAAAGAGGGAGGGGAUGAUACGACCAUGCCCCGGGCACACUUUUGGAUCAGCUCCCUAAGCAUUGUUUGCAAAUCCAUGCGAGCUAAAUUAGUUCAAUUUCAUUUCGUUAAGCUCCGUUUAGCUCGUUUCCAGCUCACUCGAGCUCAAGUCAACUCACUCAAGCUCAAUUCAGCUCAAUCUUAACCCAAUAAGCUUAUUUUUAGCUUUCUUUAGCUUGCAUUUAUUUUGCUGAAAUAAACCAUUUAAUUUGUCAUUAGUUAAAUUAGUUGUUUAUCUUAAGUUAGUUAAUUUGUUAAAAUCUGGACAAAUAAUUAAUUAAGUGUUUUAAUUAUAUCUAAAUUAAAUACUUAAUUAAUUAUGAUGUUUUAAAUAUGUCUAAAAUUGUUAAUAUGUAUGGCCAAAUUUAAUGUGCAAAUUAUUGAGUUCAUAUGCUACUAAUUUAAUGUGUUUGAAAUGCAUUUAACUUGCUGAUUUAAUUUGCUGCAGGUUCAUGAACGGAUUGGUGCAAUGUAUGGGAGUGUGCAUGCACAAUUGAGGUUCAAUGGAUGGCAUUUAAAAGAGCACAUGCAUUUGGGACGUUCAUGCAAGAGGGAGUUGCUAAAAGUUCAUGUAUUUGAAGAUUCAUGGAUCAUAUUUAUGGGGGAAAAUACAUGGGACGUUUCAUGCAUGAUUCAUGCAUUUUCCAGAUGACCAUUCAAGUAUUUUAGGCACAUUAAUGCCUCAUUCAGCCAAGGGAGAUGUAGGAUCAUUAAAGAGCUGCACAUUCAUGGAAUUAUGGAGAUUCUUCAAGGCUAAAGAUGCAUGAAUGCAUCAAGUGAAGCAUCAUGAUGGUUCGGCCAAUUCAUGUACCAUUUUCAAGCAUGAACUGGAUUUUAAUGCUAUUUGUGUGAACAUGUUAAAUACCUGUGUGAACAGAAUUUAAGUUAGUGUGAACAACAUAGAUGCCGAAUAUCAAUAGGCAUUUUAGGCUUAUAAAUAGCUUACUUGUUUAUUGUAAAAGGUUAUAGAAU
rnacentral:lncRNA from 1 species